rnacentral:rRNA from 1 species
ACUCCUGCGGGAGGCAGCAGUGGGGAAUAUUGGACAAUGGGCGCAAGCCUGAUCCAGCCAUGCCGCGUGAGUGAUGAAGGCCCUAGGGUUGUAAAGCUCUUUCACCGGUGAAGAUAAUGACGGUAACCGGAGAAGAAGCCCCGGCUAACUUCGUGCCAGCAGCCGCGGUAAUACGAAGGGGGCUAGCGUUGUUCGGAUUUACUGGGCGUAAAGCGCACGUAGGCGGACUAUUAAGUCAGGGGUGAAAUCCCGGGGCUCAACCCCGGAACUGCCUUUGAUACUGGUAGUCUUGAGUUCGAGAGAGGUGAGUGGAAUUCCGAGUGUAGAGGUGAAAUUCGUAGAUAUUCGGAGGAACACCAGUGGCGAAGGCGGCUCACUGGCUCGAUACUGACGCUGAGGUGCGAAAGCGUGGGGAGCAAAUAGGAUUAGAAACCCGAGUAGUCCCAUGA